CCGCCGGCCUCCCGCAGCCUGGCCAGGGCCAUGAGGACCAAGCAGGUGAACUUGCUGAUCACCCUGGUCGCCGUCGCGUUGUUCAGCUUCUCUUGCUUCUCCAUCUACAGGAUAACUCAAACCAAGUAAUGAAGAUUAUUUACAUUCUGUUGUUAAAAUGAUUACAAAAAAAUUCAAAAGGCAAGUGAGGUCUGGAUCCUUAGAGGUCAUUUCAAUACCUGCCUUUUUAUACUCAAGCAUGUUAAAUGCCAAGCACUUAGCUGAGGCCUCACAAAAAUUAGCCAGGAAAGCUGUUUAGAUCUGAGGACUUAACUCACUUUGUACGGUUUUUUUUAAUGUUCUACAAAGAGAAACCCAUAGACUGGCUCUUGAAUGACAUUUUUCAGGUAAAGGUGUGUGACGCAGGAGAAGAUCUUAGAAACUGUAUGAAACGAAAGAAGCAAAUACGUAUUCAGUAUAAACCUUCUCUUUUCCAGCAUGUGGGUAUACAUUCAUCAUUCCCUAGAAAAGAACAAUAUGAAAAAAAAAUAUGAAGAUAAAUAAGAAGAAACUCUGUAAUACCUGGAACCUCAGAUAACCUUGAUAUCUAAUGGCAUGUUUCAGAAAUUGUAGUAAUGAAAAUACAUAAUUAUCUAGCAGAUAAGUAAACAAUGCAUAAACUAGUAGACUUGAAAGUACUAAAUGACUUCUUAUGUCAAGACAAGGUAGAACAUUUAUAUUGCUUUUACCCUAUUACAAUUUAAUUUAAAAAUACUAAAGGCAAGGAAGUUU
rnacentral:lncRNA from 1 species